ACGUGAUCUGAGUUCAGACCGGAGUAAUCCAGGUCAGUUUCUAUCUAUAACAAAGUCUUUUUUAGUACGAAAGGACCAAAAAGACAUGGCCAAUGUGAUACAUACGCCAUACUUAAUAAUCUAUGAAUAAUACUCAAUAGAUAUUUAUAUUAACUAUAUGUUCAAGAUAAGAACC
rnacentral:rRNA from 1 species